GGUUUCAGCUGGUCCCUGGUCUUUGCGCCCUGCUUUCUGUACUUGCUCCUGCCUUUCUGGUUUUUGUUCCUGCUUUUUUUUUUUUUGUUCCUGCUUUUGAUGCGAGUUGUCUGACGCCUGUAUUGCCACCCAUCAACUUUUCAGCAUUAGCUCUGUCUUGAGAAUCCAGCUGUGAUAUUCAUCUGCAAAUACGACUGCUUUGCUUAUAGAUAGAUACUGGCCACGAUAAAGUCAAUAUUCACUGUGACCCUUUUCUAUUAUGUUUUUACUUGACUCAUCACAAGAAAUCAGAAAUAUACUUCAAGGCAUAAUAAGCAAGCAUGUAUUAUGCAGGUCCAGCAGACAUGCUGAAAGAAUAAGGAUAAAAGCCACAUGCUGGGGAUGGUGUACCAGAGAGGCAGAAGGAGCCUGAGUCCGUGCUGGCCAUGUGGACUCUUUGUAUGAGCCUCUGCUGCCCACCCAGGCUUCCGGUUUCAUGAGAAACAAUGCUUUACUUGCCCAGGCCACUACAUUGGUGCGAGGCACCGCAACUGCGCACUCACUAUGGAGUCCUGCCAAAUUUACCUCCUUUAAUUUCUUAUAUUCAAUAGCGCCUAUGAUUUCUUAUAUUCAACAGCAAGGGAGGGGGAAGAGUCAUGUUCUGGUGAGACCAGAGAAUCGGCCCUGCUGUGUUUUUGAAAAUGUGUGCUUUGAUGAUGGAAUGAUUUUUUUUUGAGUCCCAUCUCUUCAGUGUAUAAACUGUGUGACCAUAUUGGCAAGUUGCUUACUCUCUCUGAGCCUUAGUUCCCCACCUGCAGGCAGUAAGG
ensembl:lncRNA